rnacentral:rRNA from 1 species
GCCUACGGGGCGCAGCAGUGAGGAAUAUUGGUCAAUGGGCGGUAGCCUGAACCAGCCAAGUAGCGUGAAGGAUGAAGGUUCUAUGGAUUGUAAACUUCUUUUAUAUGGGAAUAAAGUGAGCCACGUGUGGCUUUUUGUAUGUACCAUACGAAUAAGGAUCGGCUAACUCCGUGCCAGCAGCCGUGGUAAUACGGAGGAUCCGAGCGUUAUCCGGAUUUAUUGGGUUUAAAGGGAGCGUAGGCGGAUUAUUAAGUCAGUUGUGAAAGUUUGCGGCUCAACCGUAAAAUUGCAGUUGAUACUGGUAG